CAGAGCAAAGGCCUUCUGCAGUUGCCGGGCUGUUCUCCCAGCUCGGAGCGCUGCACGCUCACUGACUGCAGCUUCCACGAAUUGUCGUCCGUGCUUGUGGAUUGGGAGCGCUGUCCUCCUCCACCAUGCCAGCCUUUUCUCUUUACAGAGGAGCACGUGUACAUAAGGGUAAAGAGAUUCCUUCUGUCGCACCGGUGUUUGGACCUGAGGAAGGUACCGGGUUUUCUCCAGCUUUUCUACAGUUUUGAUUUUGAGUACAAAACAGCACGAGUGGAUCCUCAGAUUUCUUGGGGAAGGGCUGCGUGACAAACAUUGCUGUGAGCUUUAUGUCUACCAGAGGAUUUUCCGGGUCAUUCUUUCCUUUCUCAGCAGUCCUUUGUGUGACCAGGGCUCCCAGCGUCGUAUUCUGGAGAUACGACAGAGUGCUGCCCGUGUCACCUCUAGAGCUGCCCAUGAGCUGAUAGAGGAUCACAGCCUCCUCUCGUGGGUCCUGCACGGCUUAGAGAAAAGGUUUCUGGAGAACAAGGUGAUAAAUAAAAUAAUUUCCUUACUCCAUCCUCUAUGGCUAAUAAAUUUAGGAGACAAGAGAGAAAACAGGAAUCGGUCCCAGAUGCUGCUGUUGAGAUGGAUAUAUGAUCUAUCUAUCUAUCUGUAUAUAGAUAGAUGUAUAUACGUAUAUCUGUGUAGUGAUAAUAAUGGGAUUUUUUAUGAUACGUUGCUUCACCGUUUUAUAUUUUUAAUAAAGUGUGAUUUUAAGUUAUUAGUUAUGAUAUUUUAUUAUAGUUAUUGGCUAAAGUAACAUUUUCUUGUAUUUUAUUGGUAUCAAGUAAUUAAUGUUAAUCAUUAAUUGGUUGGUAAGAGUUUGUAAUGAAUUAUUAAGGUGUGAAUAUGUUCAUUAAGGUACGUCUUUUUUAACUGUAGGUAUUUUCAUGUGUUUAUAUGGGUUUUUAUGUUAAUGAUUUGGGGUUUUGAUGUUAUGAAUAUAUUAGUAUUUUAUUAGGUUUUUCUUGUUAGUUUAGUUGUUUGGUGUGUAGAUUAUUCAUUAAGUAUGUUUAUCUAUAAA